rnacentral:rRNA from 1 species
UACGUAGGGGCAAGCGUUGUCCGGAAUCAUUGGGCGUAAAGAGCGUGUAGGCGGCUCGGUAAGUCCGCUCUGAAAGCCCGGGGCUCAACCCCGGGAGGCGGGCGGAUACUGUCGGGCUAGAGUCCGGAAGAGGCGAGUGGAAUUCCUGGUGUAGCGGUGAAAUGCGCAGAUAUCAGGAGGAACACCGAUGGCGAAGGCGGCCUGCUGGGCUGUUGCUGACGCUGAGGCGCGACAGCGUGGGAGC